CCCAGACUCCUACGGGAGGCAGCAGUGGGGAAUUUUGCGCAAUGGGGGCAAUCCUGACGCAGCGACGCCGCGUGGGUGAUGAAGGCCUUCGGGUUGUAAAGCCCUGUUGGGGGGGAAGAUAAUGACGGUACCCCCUGAGGAAGCCCCGGCUAACUACGUGCCAGCAGCCGCGGUAAGACGUAGGGGGCGAGCGUUGUCCGGAAUUACUGGGCGUAAAGGGCGUGUAGGCGGCCUUUCAAGUCGGCUGUGAAAUACCCCGGCUCAACCGGGGGGGUGCAGUCGAAACUGGGGGGCUUGAGUGCAGGAGAGGGGGGUGGAAUUCCCGGUGGAGCGGUGAUAUGCGUGGAUAUCGGGAGGAACACCGGUGGCGAAGGCGACCUUCUGGCCUGUUACUGACGCUGAGGCGCGAAAGCCGGGGGAGCAAACAGGAUUAGAUACCCUGGUAGUC
rnacentral:rRNA from 1 species